CGCUGGCGGCAGGCCUAACACAUGCAAGUCGAGCGGAUGACAGGAGCUUGCUCCUGAAUUCAGCGGCGGACGGGUGAGUAAUGCCUAGGAAUCUGCCUGGUAGUGGGGGACAACGUUUCGAAAGGAACGCUAAUACCGCAUACGUCCUACGGGAGAAAGCAGGGGACCUUCGGGCCUUGCGCUAUCAGAUGAGCCUAGGUCGGAUUAGCUAGUUGGUGAGGUAAUGGCUCACCAAGGCGACGAUCCGUAACUGGUCUGAGAGGAUGAUCAGUCACACUGGAACUGAGACACGGUCCAGACUCCUACGGGAGGCAGCAGUGGGGAAUAUUGGACAAUGGGCGAAAGCCUGAUCCAGCCAUGCCGCGUGUGUGAAGAAGGUCUUCGGAUUGUAAAGCACUUUAAGUUGGGAGGAAGGGUUGUAGAUUAAUACUCUGCAAUUUUGACGUUACCGACAGAAUAAGCACCGGCU
rnacentral:rRNA from 1 species